GCCCAAAACAUGACUCCACCACCACCUUGCUGACAUCGCAGCCUUGUUGGAACAGGGUGGCCGUCCACCAACCAUCCACUACUCCAUCCAUCUGGACCAUCCAGGGUUGCACGGCACUCAUCAGUGAACAGGACUGUUUGAAAAUUAGUCUUCAUGUAUUUUUCUGCCCAAUGCAGCCGUUUCUGCUUGUGAGCAUUGGUUAGUGGUGGCCGAAUAGAAGGUUUAUGCACAGUUGCAAGACUCUGGAG